rnacentral:sRNA from 1 species
CUGAAAUAGCUGAGCACCGUAGCGGUUGGUUUCGC